UGCACGAAGCUGGAAUCGCUAGUAAUCGCGGAUCAGCACGCCGCGGUGAAUACGUUCCCGGGCCUUGUACACACCGCCCGUCACACCAUGGAAGUCUGCAAUGCCCGAAGCCGGUGGCCUAACCACUUAUGUGGAAGGAGCCGUCUAAGGCAGGGCAGAUGACUGGGGUGAAGUCGUAACAAGGUAAC
rnacentral:rRNA from 1 species